rnacentral:tRNA from 1 species
UUAAUUGAAACCAAAUCAGAGGUAAAUUAUUGUUAAUAAUUUAAUUGAAUUUUAAACAUUCCAAUUAAU